rnacentral:rRNA from 1 species
UUUUGCGCUACUUGGUGUGAAUUGCAGAAUCCCGUGAACCAUCGAGUCUUUGAACGCAAGUUGCGCCCGAAGCCAUUAGGCUGAGGGCACGUCUGCCUGGGUGUCA